rnacentral:lncRNA from 1 species
AGAAUUUAUGUUUCUUUUUUGUUUUGUUUUUCAGACAGGUCCUUUAUGAAGCCCUGGAUGGCCUAGAACUCACAGAGAUCUGCUUGUCUCCGUCUCCAGAGUAUUGGGAUUAAAGAACAGCCUGAAACCUGGUUUCUUCUCUCAGGCAUUCAUGAGCUCACGCCACAGAACAAAGCAAAUCAUGAAUCAAGUUACUUCUCAGACACACUGGUGGAAAUAUCAGGUCUAAGAGGCACCAGGGAGUUCCAUACAGCCUGGACUGCAAUGAAACAACCAGCUUCCCCAGGAUGUGGCAGCACCCCAACCUUCUCGGGUCCCCCAAAGAUGGUCAACGCCCCCCACGUCAGCAGGAAGCAGUCUUGAGAAUUCGACGCCCUUAUUCCUUAACCUGCCAUGUCUAAACACCCCACCUUUUUUUUAAUAAUAAGUAGAGGUGGGAAUGAAAGGUUCAGGCAUUAUGCUGGCCUGCUCCUGUUACCUGGUGGAACAGGCAGUACCCUGGUCAGCCCAAGGUUCCAUGGGAACUAAGUCUGCACGCAGAUACAGAGGACCCCUUUAAAAGAUAGGCCCCUGCCCAUUUACGCUCUCUGUUCCCUCUCUCUGUUCCCCUCUCUCUGUUUCCCUCUCUCUGUUUCCCCGCUCUGUUUCCUCUCAGCUUCCUUUCUACUCUCUCUCACCUAUGUGCUCUCUCUAUGGCGACCGGCCAUGGCGGUCAGCC